CACUCAACUAUCAUUUCUUGGGCUCACUGCGAUGGCAAUGCGUGAGGGCAAGCCUGGAUUAAGUCAACUCGAGGAGGGGUUUACUGGGCAAACAAUCGAUCGUAACUCUUGUAUCGAGUGAUUGUGAUCGAUGAAUCCCACAUUUAUCGUGGAUGGUUGGUUGAUCCAGGAGAAUAUGCAUUUGAGUUAUCAUCAACAAAAAUACGGAAUGGACGGGAUGGACGCUUAAGGCAACCAGAAUUAUUUGCAUGUUUAAGCAAAUGGAUGGAUUUGUAACUUAGAACUUAGCUUCCAGGAAAAGAAGUUCUUCUACACUUUCCACAGAGCGGAAUCGUCCCGGUUUGUUAGGCUGGCUAGUGUUAGCUAGUGGUUGCUUCUUGCCCAUGAAUUCUUCCAGCAAUCCGGCUAUAUAUUCUACUCUGCCACUGAGUUGCCGAGUUUCCUGUGUAAUUAUGUCCUGCCGGGCCAGAACGUUCGCAAGCAUUCGGCGCAUGGAUUGGAAUUCCUGCGCCGAACCCGUCGCGGAUGAUGAUACCGGCACAUUGUUGUUGCAGUCGGAAUUUUGCUUUGAAUCCAUCUAAAAUUGAAAAGAGCGUUGUUAGGGACAUUUUAACUUUCCACUGUGUUAUUUAAAACAGUUUUUUCUUACCUUUUUGCGAAAAUAAUCUAAACACUCGUCACAAGACUAUCCUGAACCAGAACUAAAGCAAAAUGAAAUGUUCACCAUUCUUCGAAUUUGAAUUUUGACAGAAGAAUAAAUGUAUGCUCAAAAUCGACAAUACGGCGUCAUGCCGUAAUACUGCAA